rnacentral:rRNA from 1 species
AAUGAACGCUGGCGGCGCGCCUAAUACAUGCAAGUCGAGCGAGAAGACGUAGCAAUACGUUUGUAAAGCGGCGAACGGGUGAGGAAUACAUGGGUAACCUACCCUCGAGUGGGGAAUAACUAGCCGAAAGGUUAGCUAAUACCGCGUACGCUUCUUGGACUUCGGUUCAGGGAGGAAAGCGAUACCGUGGGUAUCGCGCUCUUGGAUGGGCUCAUGUCCUAUCAGCUUGNGGUGAGGUAACGGCUCACCAAGGCUUCGACGGGUAGCUGGUCUGAGAGGACGAUCAGCCACACUGGCACUGCGACACGGGCCAGACUCCUACGGGAGGCAGCAGUAAGGAAUAUUGCGCAAUGGGCGAAAGCCUGACGCAGCGACGCCGCGUGGGGGAUGAAGGUCUUCGGAUUCGUAAACCCCUUUCGGGAGGGAAGAUGGAACGAGCAAUCGUUCGGACGGUACCUCCA